CAGGGAUUGCCUCAGUAACGGCGAGUGARGCGGCAAGAGCUCAAAUUUGAAAGCUGGCUCCUUCGGGGUCCGCAUUGUAAUUUGCAGAGGAUGCUUCGGGAGCAGCCCCCAUCUAAGUGCCCUGGAACGGGCCGUCAUAGAGGGUGAAAAUCCCGUAUGGGAUGGGGUGUCUGCGCCCAUGUGAAGCUCCUUCGACGAGUCGAGUUGUUUGGGAAUGCAGCUCUAAAUGGGUGGUAAAUUUCAUCUAAAGCUAAAUAUUGGCCGGAGACCGAUAGCGCACAAGUAGAGUGAUCGAAAGAUGAAAAGCACUUUGAAAAGAGAGUUAAAAAGCACGUGAAAUUGUUGAAAGGGAAGCGCUUGCGAUCAGACUCGCCUUGGGGGUUCAGCCGGCAUUCGUGCCGGUGUACUUCCCCCAGGGCGGGCCAGCGUCGGUUUGGGUGGCCGGUCAAAGGCCCUUGGAAUGUAACGCCUCUCGGGGCGUCUUAUAGCCAAGGGUGCCAUGCGGCCUACCUGGACCGAGGAACGCGCUUCGGCUCGGACGCUGGCAUAAUGGUCGUAAGCGACCCGUCUUGAAACACGGACCAAGGAGUCUAACAUCUACGCGAGUGUUCGGGUGUCAAACCCGUGCGCGCAGUGAAAGCGAACGGAGGUGGGAACCCUUUGGGUGCACCAUCGACCGAUCCUGAUGUCUUCGGAUGGAUUUGAGUAAGAGCGUAGCUGUUGGGACCCGAAAGAUGGUGAACUAUGCCUGAAUAGGGCGAAGCCAGAGGAAACUCUGGUGGAGGCUCGCAGCGGUUCUGACGUGCAAAUCGAUCGUCGAAUUUGGGUAUAGGGGCGAAA
rnacentral:rRNA from 1 species